AACAACAAAAUGUGUAGAUCUAAUAAAUUGAAAUAAUUUUGAGCUUUUAUUUUCUGAAUAAGUGAUAAGUUUGAGCUAUUGGAUUUUCUUAAAUAUAUCUCAUAUGCAGAGGCCUCAAGGAAAUAACCUCAAAGUCGCUGGUUCCAAUCCCCACACAUGAGGAUAUUAACCUAUCAAAAACAAAAAUAGGAAGAAAAGAAAAGAAAACCACUUUCAAUUGUAGUUUAAUUUCCUAAGUUUCUCUUUCGUAGUUAGAAACUUUCAUAUGCUUAUCAGAGCCUACUUUUCUGUGGUUAAUUAAAUAGGG
rnacentral:lncRNA from 1 species